rnacentral:rRNA from 1 species
CGGGCCCCAGAUAGCCAUGCAUGCCUUCGAAUAAGAGGAAGCAAUUCUCUCUGAAUCUGCGAACGGCUCCGCAAACCAGUUGUAAACUAUAGCAAGCAAGCCCGGGGGUUCCCUUCACGGGGGGUUCCCGGGCAACAUGGAUAACCCUGGUAAUUCUGAGGCUAAUACAAGAACGUACUCCCUGGGCAACUGGCCUUGGCUGGACGCCUGGGGGUCGUGCGAUACCUCGCGAGACUGCCAGGACUGGGCGCAUGACCGGACCGCGCUAAACACGGAUUGCCCCUUAAGCCUUCACGGGUGGCGGGGGUGGCUCGAGCGGCUCUUGCUGUGUGCUUCUGACCUAUCAACUUGAUGGCAGCGUAACGGACAUGCUAUGGUGGCGACGGGUACAGAGGAUUAGGGUUCGA